rnacentral:rRNA from 1 species
AGUGAACGCUGGCGGUAGGCCUAACACAUGCAAGUCGAACGGCAGCACAGUAAGAGCUUGCUCUUACGGGUGGCGAGUGGCGGACGGGUGAGGAAUACAUCGGAAUCUACUUUUUCGUGGGGGAUAACGUAGGGAAACUUACGCUAAUACCGCAUACGACCUACGGGUGAAAGCAGGGGAUCUUCGGACCUUGCGCGAUUGAAUGAGCCGAUGUCGGAUUAGCUAGUUGGCGGGGUAAAGGCCCACCAAGGCGACGAUCCGUAGCUGGUCUGAGAGGAUGAUCAGCCACACUGGAACUGAGACACGGUCCAGACUCCUACGGGAGGCAGCAGUGGGGAAUAUUUGACAAAGGGCGCAAGCCUGAUCCAGCCAUACCGCGUGGGUGAAGAAGGCCUUCGGGUUGUAAAGCCCUUUUGUUGGGAAAGAAAAGCAGCAGGUUAAUACCCCGCUGUUCUGACGGUACCCAAAGAAUAAGCACCGGCUAACUUCGUG